rnacentral:rRNA from 1 species
GGGACACGUGGUAUCCUGUCUGAAUAUGGGGGGACCAUCCUCCAAGGCUAAAUACUCCUGACUGACCGAUAGUGAACCAGUACCGUGAGGGAAAGGCGAAAAGAACCCCGGCGAGGGGAGUGAAAAAGAACCUGAAACCGUGUACGUACAAGCAGUGGGAGCACAGAGCAAUCUGUGUGACUGCGUACCUUUUGUAUAAUGGGUCAGCGACUUAUAUUCUGUAGCAAGGUUAACCGAAUAGGGGAGCCGAAGGGAAACCGAGUCUUAACUGGGCGUUAAGUUGCAGGGUAUAGACCCGAAACCCGGUGAUCUAGCCAUGGGCAGGUUGAAGGUUGGGUAACACUAACUGGAGGACCGAACCGACUAAUGUUGAAAAAUUAGCGGAUGACUUGUGGCUGGGGGUGAAAGGCCAAUCAAACCGGGAGAUAGCUGGUUCUCCCCGAAAGCUAUUUAGGUAGCGCCUCGUGAAUUCAUCUCCGGGGGUAGAGCACUGUUUCGGCAAGGGGGUCAUCCCGACUUACCAACCCGAUGCAAACUGCGAAUACCGGAGAAUGUUAUCACGGGAGACACACGGCGGGUGCUAACGUCCGUCGUGAAGAGGGAAACAACCCAGACCGCCAGCUAAGGUCCCAAAGUCAUGGUUAAGUGGGAAACGAUGUGGGAAGGCCCAGACAGCCAGGAUGUUGGCUUAGAAGCAGCCAUCAUUUAAAGAAAGCGUAAUAGCUCACUGGUCGAGUCGGCCUGCGCGGAAGAUGUAACGGGGCUAAACCAUGCACCGAAGCUGCGGCAGCGACGCUUAUGCGUUGUUGGGUAGGGGAGCGUUCUGUAAGCCUUUGAAGGUGUACUGUGAGGUAUGCUGGAGGUAUCAGAAGUGCGAAUGCUGACAUAAGUAACGAUAAAGCGGGUGAAAAGCCCGCUCGCCGGAAGACCAAGGGUUCCUGUCCAACGUUAAUCGGGGCAGGGUGAGUCGACCCCUAAGGCGAGGCCGAAAGGCGUAGUCGAUGGGAAACAGGUUAAUAUUCCUGUACUUGGUGUUACUGCGAAGGGGGGACGGAGAAGGCUAUGUUGGCCGGGCGACGGUUGUCCCGGUUUAAGCGUGUAGGCUGGUUUUCCAGGCAAAUCCGGAAAAUCAAGGCUGAGGCGUGAUGACGAGGCACUACGGUGCUGAAGCAACAAAUGCCCUGCUUCCAGGAAAAGCCUCUAAGCAUCAGGUAACAUCAAAUCGUACCCCAAACCGACACAGGUGGUCAGGUAGAGAAUACCAAGGCGCUUGAGAGAACUCGGGUGAAGGAACUAGGCAAAAUGGUGCCGUAACUUCGGGAGAAGG